rnacentral:precursor_RNA from 8 species
GGGACCAGGCUGAGGAUGCAGGGGCUCCUCGCCCCCUCCCUUGGUCGCCGGCUGUUGGUCCUUUUGUCAGUCUGCGUCUGGGGAGGGGGCCAGGGGCUCAUUCUGGCCUGGGGGGCGGGGGC